rnacentral:rRNA from 1 species
UACGGAGGGUGCUAGCGUUGUUCGGAAUUACUGGGCGUAAAGCGCGUGUAGGCGGCCCGCUAAGUCUGAUGUGAAAGCCCGGGGCUCACCCCCGGAAGUGCAUUGGAGACUGGCGGGCUAGAGUCCCGGAGAGGAGGGUGGAAUUCCUGGUGGAGCGGUGAAAUGCGUAGAUAUCAGGAGGAACACCGGUGGCGAAGGCGGCCCUCUGGACGGUGACUGACGCUGAGACGCGAAAGCGUGGGGAGCAAACAGG